UGGGGAACGGCAUCAACUUCUACUAGUUGGCAAUCUAUAUCCAAUUAGGGACAUUAUGAAAAGCCCAGAAAAAGGGAUGAUGUACUCCCUACGACGUCUACCAGUGAGGGGACCUCAUACGUUGCAAAUGAUGGUGGGUUAGAAUAUGACUCCGAUGUGGAUCCACCUUGAGAUCCCGGGCCCGAUGGUGCAGAAGUUGCAUUAUUUUCUGAACCAGAGCCUAUUCCAACCGAACCUGAAGAUGUUGAAGGGGGUUCAGAUGAAGAAGAAGAUCCACGAUUCAGGGCAUACUCACCUCCAGCCCACAAGCAUAAUGUCGAUCUGUC
rnacentral:lncRNA from 1 species